GACAGAGGGUGCAAACGUUGUUCGGAAUUACUGGGCGUAAAGCGCGUGUAGGCGGCUAUGCAAGUCGGAUGUGAAAGCCCUCGGCUCAACCGGGGAAGUGCACCCGAAACUGCAAAGCUAGAGUCUCGGAGAGGAUCGUGGAAUUCUCGGUGUAGAGGUGAAAUUCGUAGAUAUCUGGAGGAACACCGGUGGCGAAGGCGGCAUCCUGGACCGACACUGACGCUGAGGGGCGAAAGCCAGGGGAGCAAACGGG
rnacentral:rRNA from 1 species